CAGAUGUGUUUUUGAUGUCCCCAUGUCCCCCCAGCUGUCCCCAGCUGUCCCCAGGUGUCCCCAGAUGUCCCCAGCUGUCCCCAGAGGUGUCCCCAGAUGUCCCCAGAGAUGUCCCCAGCUGUCCCCUCACCUCUUUGCUGUCACAGGGGGGUCUCUCUGGCGCCUGCAGCUGGAACAGGAAGUUCUGCUCCUCCAGGGCGCUGAGGGGACACGGCCACCCCGCGUGGCCACCGGGGACGCGGCAGAAGGCGCCCACGGGGACCUCCCCGGAGUGGUGGCUGCAGGGGACAUCAUUGGGGACAUCACUGGGGACAUCCCUGGGGACAUCCCUGGGGACAUCCCUGGGGACAUCCCUGGGGACGGCCUUGGGGACGUCGGGGACCAGGGGAACAUGGGGGAAAAGGGUUCUUGUGGUGUCCCCAUGGUGUCCCCAAGGUGUCCCCAAGGUUCUCAAGGUGUCCCCAAGGUUCUCAAGGUGUCCCCAUGGUGUCCCCAAGGUUCUCAAGGUGUCCCCAAGGUGUCCCCAAGGUUCUCGUGGUGUCCCCAAGGUGUCCUCAAGGUGUCCCCAAGGUUCUCGUGGUGUCCCCAAGGUUCUCGUGGUGUCCCCAUGGUGUCCCCAUGGUGUCCUCAAGGUGUCCCCAAGGUCCCCAAGGUUCUCAUGGUGUCCCCAUGGUGUCCCCAAGGUUCUCGUGGUGUCCCCAUGGUGUCCUCAAGGUGUCCCCAAGGUCCCCGAGGUUCUCGUGGUGUCCCCAUGGUGUCCCCAAGGUUCUCGUGGUGUCCUCAAGGUGUCCCCAUGGUGUCCCCAAGGUGUCCUCAAGGUGUCCCCAAGGUCCCCAAGGUUCUCAAGGUGUCCCCAAGGUUCUCAAGGUGUCCCCAAGGUGUCCCCAUGGUGUCCUCAAGGUGUCCCCCGAGGUCCCCAAGGUUCUCAUGGUGUCCCCAUGGUGUCCCCAUGGUGUCCUCAAGGUGUCCCCAAGGUUCUCAAGGUGUCCCCAAGGUGUCCCCAUGGUGUCCCCAAGGUUCUUGUGGUGUCCCCAAGGUGUCCCCAAGGUUCUCAAGGUGUCCCCAUGGUGUCCUCAAGGUGUCCCCAAGGUCCCCAAGGUUCUCAUGGUGUCCCCAUGGUUCUCAUGGUGUCCCCAUGGUGUCCUCAAGGUGUCCCCAAGGUUCUCGUGGUGUCCCCAUGGUGUCCCCAUGGUGUCCUCAAGGUGUCCCCAAGGUCCCCAAGGUUCUCAAGGUGUCCCCAAGGUUCUCAAGGUGUCCCCAUGGUGUCCUCAAGGUGUCCCCAGGUGUCCCCAGAGUGUCCCCAGGUGUCCCCCAGGUGUCCCCAGGUGUCCCCCAGGUGUCCCCAUGUCCCCCCAGGUGUCCCCAGGUGUCCCCCAGGUGUCCCCAUGUCCCCCCAGGUGUCCCCAGGUGAGCUUUUGAUGUCCCCAGAUGUCCCCAAGUGUCCCCAGAGAUGUCCCCAGGUGUUUCCCAAUGUCCCCCCAGGUGUCCCCAGGUGUGCUUUUGGUGUCCCCAGGUGUCCCCA
ensembl:lncRNA